CUAUACCAGAAGGCCUGGAGCUCAUCCAAAUACUUCUAGGUCAGCCUUGAAGUGGACACCUAACUAAUAUGCCCUACCUUCAGCUCUACAGAAAGGCACUGUCAACAGGUGCUCAUCUGUCCUCUGUCAUCGCUCAGCGGGUACACCAGGUCACCCUCUGAUUAGUGAGAGAUCCUUGUGUUGUCCAAGGCCUUCCACAUGGCACUUAGACCACAUGUGGGCCAGUGAUGAAGCACCUACCUUUCCCCAGAGACUGUUUCUUAUCUCAGACAUAGGAAAAUAUUACUUGUUCAGCUACAGGUAAACAAAUCUGACCCAAUGGCUUUCUGCUAAUUUUUCUGUACCAGGCAGCCUCUGCCAGACCAGCCACAAUCAACACCCAAUCAACCACAAAACCUACAACUCAUGAUGCAGUUGAGCAUAACAAAAGCAUUUCAACACUGGAUUAGUUAUAUCCAUCUGGCUCUCAAGGAACCUUUGCAGACUUCAAUAGUCUCUUAAAGGUUUAGGGUAACACUUAACAAGCAAGCAAGCAAGCAAACAAACAAACAACAACAAAAAACAAACAACAAUAAAACACCCAUGACUCCAUUUCCCAUUAUCUGCAAGAAGACUUGCCUAAAACACAGGAUCAAGCCACGCUGACUGCAAGGGAGCAUGCUCAUUUCUGCAUUGCCUGGUAAUCAGACUUCGCUCAGCCACAUCCUUCCCCUCUGAGCCAGAGAAACUCAUUCAAUGCCAAAAAAGUGCCCCAUUUUGGUGGACACAACCUAGGCACAGACUCACCACUGCAAUUAUGAACCCAUCUGGACAGCCAGCAUUAGAUUGGUUGCAAACAACUGACAUCCCUGUGGACUCUCGUGGACCUCUUGCUCAGGUUAGGAAGGGUGAAGGCACAUUGACCAUAAAACGUUCUGCAAAAACCAGUGGACCUUUCUCACUUGGGCUUCAAAGCUCCCCUUACUGCAAACUUAUAAAGACAUUUAACUUACUUGUUUUGCUGUUAUUUGUUGGAUAUUCACAAACAGAAGGUGUGGAAAUAAUUAUAAUUAUUAAGGAAUAAGUCCUAGAGCAUUUAUAGUUUUCUGAAUAAAUUGUUUUCCCA
rnacentral:lncRNA from 1 species